rnacentral:rRNA from 1 species
GCUGGCAGCGAGCUCUCUGAAACUCUCACAUGUUUACUCGCAGAAGCUAAGCAGGGCUGCACCUGGUCAGUACCUGGAUGGGAGACCACAUGGGAAAGCUAGACUGCUGUCGGAA